rnacentral:rRNA from 1 species
AUUGAACGCUGGCGGCGUGCCUAACACAUGCAAGUCGAGCGGUAACAGGCGUAGCAAUACGUGCUGACGAGCGGCGAACGGGUGAGCAAUGCUUCGGAAUCUGCCCAAUGGUGGGGAAUAACCAGUCGAAAGAUUUGGCUAAUACCGCAUACGCCCUUCGGGGAAAGCGGGGUCGUAAGACCUCGCGCCGAUGGAUGAGC